rnacentral:pre_miRNA from 1 species
AAUAAACCAAUUUUUUACUUUUACCUUUAAUUUUUGAUUCUUCGUCUUAUUCAAAAUUUUUUUGCGAUUGCUAUUUUUGUUUUUAUUAGAUGAUAAAUUAUGAAUAGUACUUUUUGUGUGACUAAUUUUUUUUCUAAUUUCCUAAAAAUUUUUCAAAUAAGACAGAUGGUCAAACGUUGGACACGGAAAUCAGAG